UUCAUGGAGAGUUUGAUCCUGGCUCAGGACGAACGCUGGCGGCGUGCCUAAUACAUGCAAGUCGAGCGGACCGACGGGAGCUUGCUCCCUUAGGUCAGCGGCGGACGGGUGAGUAACACGUGGGUAACCUGCCUGUAAGACUGGGAUAACUCCGGGAAACCGGGGCUAAUACCGGAUGCUUGAUUGAACCGCAUGGUUCAAUCAUAAAAGGUGGCUUUUAGCUACCACUUACAGAUGGACCCGCGGCGCAUUAGCUAGUUGGUGAGGUAACGGCUCACCAAGGCGACGAU
rnacentral:rRNA from 1 species